UACGUAGGGGGCGAGCGUUGUCCGGAGUUACUGGGCGUAAAGGGCGUGCAGGCGGUGCGGUAAGUUUAGAGUGACAGUAUCCGGCUUAACUGGAUGAGGCCUCUGAAGACUGCCGGACUUGAGGGCCAGAGAGGGACAUAGAAUUCCGGGUGGAGUGGUGAAAUGCGUAGAUAUUGGGAGGAACACCAGUGGCGAAGGCGGCUCGCUGGACCGGUUCUGACGCUGAGGCGCGAAAGCGUGGGGAGCAAACGGG
rnacentral:rRNA from 1 species